AUUGAACGCUGGCGGCAGGCCUAACACAUGCAAGUCGAGCGGAAGAAGGGAGCUUGCUCCUGGAUUCAGCGGCGGACGGGUGAGUAAUGCCUAGGAAUCUGCCUGUUAGUGGGGGAUAACGUCCGGAAACGGGCGCUAAUACCGCAUACGUCCUGAGGGAGAAAGGGGGGGAGCUUCGGACCUCACGCUAUCAGAUGAGCCUAGGUCGGAUUAGCUAGUUGGUGGGGUAAAGGCCUACCAAGGCGACGAUCCGUAACUGGUCUGAGAGGAUGAUCAGUCACACUGGAACUGAGACACGGUCCAGACUCCUACGGGAGGCAGCAGUGGGGAAUAUUGGACAAUGGGCGAAAGCCUGAUCCAGCCAUGCCGCGUGUGUGAAGAAGGUCUUCGGAUUGUAAAGCACUUUAAGUUGGGAGGAAGGGCAGUAAGUUAAUACCUUGCUGUUUUGACGUUACCAACAGAAUAAGCACCGGCUAACUUCGUG
rnacentral:rRNA from 1 species